rnacentral:rRNA from 1 species
CCGCCAGAGAACAACGAGCAAAGCUUAAAACCCAAAGGACUUGGCGGCGCUCCACACCACCCUAGAGGGGCCUGUCACACAACCGAUAACCCACGAUUAACCCCGCCAUUUUUAGCCCAUACAGCCUAUAUACCGCCGUCGCCAGCCCAUCUUGAAAAGAAAUAAAAUGGGCCCAAUAGUCCAAUGCCACUAACACGACAGGUCGAGGUGUAGCUUAUGAGAUGGUAAAUGAUGGACCACAUUGCUACUCCAGCUAAACCAAAAUUGCACUGAAAUACGCCCUUUAAGGUGAAUUUAACAGUAAGGUGGGCAAGAAAACCCACCUAAAGAUUGCUCUGGAGCGUGCACACACCGCCGGUCCACCCUCAA